AGAGUUUGAUCCUGGCUCAGGAUGAACGCUAGCGGCAGGCUUAACACAUGCAAGUCGAGGGGCAGCGGGGAGGAAGCUUGCUUUCUCCGCCGGCGACCGGCGUACGGGUGAGUAACACGUAUGCAACCUGCCCCUGUCAGGGGGACAACCCGCCGAAAGGCGGGCUAAACCCGCGUACAUGCCACCGGGGCAUCCCGGAGGCAGGAAAGGCUUCGGCCGGACAGGGACGGGCAUGCGGCGCAUUAGGGCAGUAGGCGGGGUAACGGCCCACCUAACCGACGAUGCGUAGGGGUUCUGAGAGGAAGGUCCCCCACACUGGUACUGAGACACGGACCAGACUCCUACGGGAGGCAGCAGUGAGGAAUAUUGGUCAAUGGUCGGGAGACUGAACCAGCCAAGCCGCGUGAGGGAGGAAGGUACAGAGUAUCGUAAACCUCUUUUGUCAGGGAACAAAGGCGGGGACGUGUCCCCGGAUGAGUGUACCUGAAGAAAAAGCAUCGGCUAACUCCGUGCCAGCAGCCGCGGUAAUACGGAGGAUGCGAGCGUUAUCCGGAUUUAUUGGGUUUAAAGGGUGCGCAGGCGGUCUGUCAAGUCAGCGGUCAAAGCCCGGGGCUCAACCCCGGCCCGCCGUUGAAACUGGCAGUCUCGAGUUGGAGAGAAGUAUGCGGAAUGCGCGGUGUAGCGGUGAAAUGCAUAGAUAUCGCGCAGAACUCCGAUUGCAAAGGCAGCAUGCCGGCUCCACACUGACGCUGAGGCACGAAAGCGUGGGUAUCGAACAGGAUUAGAUACCCUGGUAGUCCACGCAGUAAACGAUGAAUGCUGGCUGUCCGGGGGGAUUGACCCCUGGGUGGCGAAGCGAAAGCGAUAAGCAUUCCACCUGGGGAGUACGCCGGCAACGGUGAAACUCAAAGGAAUUGACGGGGGCCCGCACAAGCGGAGGAACAUGUGGUUUAAUUCGAUGAUACGCGAGGAACCUUACCCGGGCUCAAACGGGGAGUGACUCAGGCAGAGACGCCUGUUUCCCACGGGACACUCCCCGAGGUGCUGCAUGGUUGUCGUCAGCUCGUGCCGUGAGGUGUCGGCUUAAGUGCCAUAACGAGCGCAACCCCCGCGUGCAGUUGCUAACAGAUAACGCUGAGGACCCUGCACGGACUGCCGGCGCAAGCCGCGAGGAAGGCGGGGAUGACGUCAAAUCAGCACGGCCCUUACGUCCGGGGCGACACACGUGUUACAAUGGGUGGUACAGCGGGAAGCCAGGCGGCGACGCCGAGCGGAACCCGAAAUCCACUCUCAGUUCGGAUCGGAGUCUGCAACCCGACUCCGUGAAGCUGGAUUCGCUAGUAAUCGCGCAUCAGCCAUGGCGCGGUGAAUACGUUCCCGGGCCUUGCACUCACCGCCCGUCA
rnacentral:rRNA from 1 species